rnacentral:rRNA from 1 species
UACGAAGGGGGCUAGCGUUGUUCGGAAUUACUGGGCGUAAAGCGUGCGCAGGCGGCUUCUCAAGUCCGGGGUGAAAGCCCAGAGCUCAACUCUGGAAUUGCCUUUGAGACUGAGUGGCUUGAGUACGGGAGAGGUGAGUGGAAUUCCCAGUGUAGAGGUGAAAUUCGUAGAUAUUGGGAGGAACACCAGUGGCGAAGGCGGCUCACUGGACCGGUACUGACGCUGAUGCGCGAAAGCGUGGGGAGCAAACGGG